rnacentral:tRNA from 1 species
UAGCUCAGUGGUAGAGUGCUUGCCUUACAUGCAUGAGGCCCUGGGUUCGAUCCCUG